GGAAGACUAUGACGGUACCCCCUGAAUAAGUGACAGCCAAACUAUGUGCCAGCAGCUGCGGUAAUACAUAGGUCGCGAGCGUUAUUCGGAUUUAUUGGGCGUAAAGCAAGCGCAGGCGGACUGAUAAGUUCUGUGUUAAAAGCAGCUGCUCAACAGUUGUUUGCACCGAAUACUGUCAGUCUAGAAUGUGGUAGGGAGUUUCGGAAUUAAAUAUGGAGCGGUGGAAUGUGUAGAUAUAUUUAAGAACACCAGAAGCGAAGGCGGAAACUCAGGCCAUUAUUGACGCUUAGGCUUGAAAGCGUGGGGAGCAAAUGGGAUUAGAUACCCCAGUAGUCCACGCCGUAAACGAUGGGUAUUAGGUGCCGGUGCUUGUGCUUCGGCGCUGUAGCUUACGUGUUAAAUACCCCGCCUGGGUAGUACAUAUGCAAAUAUGAAACUCAAAGGAAUUGACGGGGACCUGAACAAGUGGUGGAACAUGUUGCUUAAUUCGAUAAUACACGAAAAACCUUACCAAGGUUUGACAUCCCCCGCGAAGCUAUAGAAAUAUAGUGAAGGUUAUCGGGGUGACAGGUGGUGCAUGGUUGUCGUCAGCUCGUGUCAUGAGAUGUUUGGUUAAGUCCCGCAACGAGCGCAACCCUACUCUUUAGUUGCUUAUCUAAAGAGACUGAACAGUAAUGUAUAGGAAGGUUGGGAUCACGUCAAAUCAUCAUGCCCCUUAUGCCUUGGGCUGCAAACGUGUUACAAUGACGAGUACAAUGUGUCGCAAAGUAGCGAUAGUAAGCUAAUCACCAAAAGCUCGCCUCAG
rnacentral:rRNA from 1 species